GCAUUCCUUUAUUUAUAUACAUCUUUCUGAUGAAAUAAAUCUAGGGCCAGCAUUUUACUUAAACCCUUUGAUUCAUCCAUUGGAGAAACUGUCUAAACAAUGUCAUCAAACUAUACUCUUUGCCACAGAUGCUGUAUCUUACCAAGAUGUAUAUUAUAUGCUAUUGCUACAAGCGUACAUUGUGAGACUCCAUGUGCUAUAAUUUUGUAUUUCCUUCAGUUAAGCGAAAUGUUUUGGUGCCUAAUGAUAUCAAUAAAUUGCAGGCCAAAAUUGUUGGGGGGAAAGCUACUAAGGACCUUGUUAAGUUGGUGAUUUAGGCAAUCUGUGGAUGUCACUUCAUUACUCCAUGACCUGAUGGACUUGCAAGUACUGUACAACGGAAGGUCUCCUAAGCAGCUGGGCUGAUGCUUUACAUUUGGAAGCAGAACAUCAAUAAAGGUUCUUGAUAGAAACCUCAUUUGACAUGUUUCAUUGUUGAAUGUUGCUCUUUAGAGAUGAGAGGAAGCAAUCUAUCUGCCCUUCGUGGCCAUGUCUAGCUCGUCACAGAAGGAGUGAUAAAGCUCCCUUCCAGUGUUAGAAGGAGCAAAAUCUUCGAUGGGAUGACCAAGAAGGAAAAUCUCUACUGAAGACUGUGUCCAAGCAGCAUCCAGGCCUCCAUCUUCUAAUGCGCAAAAUGAAAAGGCAGGCUUUCUCAACAGUUUGCCAACUUGGUCCUUGAACACUUUCCUUUCCACAGAGGCCCCCCGGGUGUCAGAAGGAAAUGGGUGAUGUGUACCCCCAAUCUACUCAUCCUCAUCCACAUUGUAACAGCACUACACACAGGAGAGUUGUUUGUGUCGGCUCUGCAUACAGUCCUUUAAACCGGGCUCUAAAGAAAAUAUUCCAAUUUCUAAUAAUAAACAUUAAAGGUCAAAUUUGAAAGCCAUCUGGCUAUAAGUUUCUGAGUCAAAAGCUUCUUCAAACUCAGUGAUAUAAGUAACAACGUGUCUAGAGCAGAGAUCAAGAACCUACCAUUCUUCAGAGCACAGAGACUAGUAAACUUCGUUUUAAAAUAAGUAAAUGAAAUAGUGUGUGUGAGAUUGCAGAGGCCAUGCUACUCUGUGACAACUUCAGCAUGUCUUCCCUUCCUAAG
rnacentral:lncRNA from 1 species